UGGCGGGACGGGGUGGAGUAAUGUCUGGGAAACUGCCUGAUGGAGGGGGGUAACUACUGGAAACGGUAGCUAAUACCGCAUAACGUCGCAAGACCAAAGAGGGGGACCUCGGGCCUCUUGCCAUCGGAUGUGCCCAGAUGGGAUUAGCUAGUAGGUGGGGUAACGGCUCACCUAGGCGACGAUCCCUAGCUGGUCUGAGAGGAUGACCAGCCACAUUGGAACUGAGACACGGUCCAG
rnacentral:rRNA from 1 species